GGCACAUGUGCGCCCCUCCAGACGUACAUCUGCUCUCUGCGUACGCCGCAAGGAGCCACGUUUUAGAUUCCUUCCCGCAAACAGGCUCCGGAAAGCUGAACAGGGGCAGCAGGAGCAUUGCAGAAUUACAGUUUGUUUCACAUUUUAAACGGGAGAAACCUGAAGAGUGAAUCUGGACGAGCAACUGCACUAGUUUCCAAACGCUGAUAGAGUGCAGGCUGAAAGAACAGACAGAACUUCAAGAGCCAGUAAAUCCUGAGAUAUAUGCACUUCUGAAGAUUGCUGUGGGAUCUUUAAGUCCUCCUUGAAAGGGCCCCACAUAGACUGCCUCAUCUGAAGCAUGAUACUUCCAACAGAGCAGCACUGAAGUAUCACACUGGAUAUGUGAACAAACUCGAGUGUGAAUAUUUCAACCUACAACUUUCCCACCUGAGUCAAGAAUGUGAACAACUGAAGCAUGCCAGCACUACAAUAUGACAGUCUGUUAUUAUGUUGUUGUAUCACUGCAAUAUCUAAAGGUGAAGCUGUGAAACUAAAAUACCUUCAAGACAGAAAAUUAAAAGGCGUUCUUGUUCUGAAAAAUAAAAUCUUCACUGUAUCAAGGUAAAAGAUUUGCUUCAUCAAUUGUGUACCAAAGUAUGUGAACAGGAAUGGAAAAGGAUACAAUUUCUUUUUAAAAUAUUGUUGAUAUUACAGUGUAUUGGUAUGAAAUGCAAAAAACUGCCUGUACUUAAUAUUCCAAGAACUCUAAAGUUUAUUUACAUGAACACCACAUAUUAUGUGAUUUAAAAAAAAAAAAAAA